rnacentral:rRNA from 1 species
AGAUUGAACGCUGGCGGCAUGCCUUACACAUGCAAGUCGAACGCGAAAGGGGGGCAACCCCCGAGUAGAGUGGCGAACGGGUGAGUAAUACAUCGGAACGUAUCCAGUAGCGGGGGAUAACCUCUCGAAAGAGAGGCUAAUACCGCAUACGACCUACGGGUGAAAGAGGGGGAUCGCAAGACCUCUCACUAUUGGAGCGGCCGAUGUCGGAUUAGCUAGUUGGCGGGGUAACGGCCCACCAAGGCUACGAUCCGUAGCUGGUCUGAGAGGACGACCAGCCACACUGGAACUGAGACACGGUCCAGACUCCUACGGGAGGCAGCAGUGGGGAAUUUUGGACAAUGGGCGCAAGCCUGAUCCAGCCAUGCCGCGUGAGUGAAGAACGGCCUUCGGGGUUAGUAAAGU